AAAUGAGGCUGCUCGGCUCGGGCAACGAGCAGCAUUUGUGUGCUUCUGCUCUCUUACGAGCCCGACCUACUUACUGGGCUCGUUUUGUAGCAGGGUCAGUGAUGAGUCAGCCAGCUGAAAAUGAAUCAAGCCUCUGGGCUCCGGUGCCACGAUAUGGAGCAUGAUACAUCACCGAGGGAGGCGAAAUACGUUCUACAUUUCAGGCCAUGUCCAAAGCCCGUCAGCAGAUGCAUUCCUCCUGUACCAGCAGCUCAGCUGCAGCAUCCCUCCCGCCGCCGGGAUGUUAGCUCUGGCCCCUCCGCGGGCAGCCACCCAACAUCUUAAAGCCCUGCGACUCCAUCGAGACCUCUGUUGAGCCCUAGGAACCUCCAGAAAAAAAAUCAGAAACCCAAGCCAAGCUGAGGGGGAAGGCAAACAGCCACAAACACAGCGGGGAGGGUUGCGCCGAGCUUCCCCAGGGCCAGGCGGGUGGUGUCCUGGUGCCACUUUGCACAGCUCCAGCAAUUUGUCAACAGCAAUUAUUUGUCACGCCUUGCUGCCCUUUAUGGGAGCAGCCUUUUAACAAGAAAAAGAGGCAGUCACACUGUUGUCUUGAGCCGCUUCAAGCUGCUUUUGCCUAGGACUGUGUUGGAAGACCAAGCAAAGCGCACCCGGUGCGAGGCUGCUCUGUCGCAGGGGCGAAGAAGGGAUUUCUGCAGCACAAACCGCUCGAGGGGGCUCGGCAGAGCUUCCAGGAAAUUGUUUGAUGCUGAUUG